ACAGCUCAAUUAAAAGAGCAUGAGACUCAUAAUCUCAGGGUCAUGGUCAAGGGUUCAAGCCCCAUGUUGGGUG